CAGCAGCCGCGGUAAUACAGAGGGUGCGAGCGUUAAUCGGAUUUACUGGGCGUAAAGCGUGCGUAGGCGGAUUCUUAAGUCGGAUGUGAAAUCCCUGAGCUUAACUUAGGAAUUGCAUUCGAUACUGGGAAGCUAGAGUAUGGGAGAGGAUGGUAGAAUUCCAGGUGUAGCGGUGAAAUGCGUAGAGAUCUGGAGGAAUACCGAUGGCGAAGGCAGCCAUCUGGCCUAAUACUGACGCUGAGGUACGAAAGCAUGGGGAGCAAACAGGAUUAGAUACCCCCGUAGUCCCUGUCUCUUAUAA
rnacentral:rRNA from 1 species